UGUACAAAUAUUUAUGCAAUUCCUUUAUAUUUUUCACUCUGUGGUUAUUAUGUCUUGGACUCACUGCAGAUAACAGAGAACUUAACAUUCCUGGGAGGUGAAUGGCACUCAUUGAAGUUGGCUCAUUCACACAAAAAUUCCAAGAGACUGUUUCCUAGACAACAGGAGAGCUGUGGUACAUCCACAAAAACUGUGCACUGCUGUGUAUCUGCUCUUCAGUCAAACACCUGGUGGCAGCUGCUGCUCCCACUGAUGAUACGGACAGGAUGCAACUGUUUCUAUAGCCAGAAACAAAUUCUUUGAUCUAAGCAAGUCAGAGAAGCUGUUGAUUCAUAGGUUUCCUGACAUAAACUUACUGGCACAGGCAGCAGUGCUGUGAGUUGUGUUUGUGUAGGAGGUGAGCAGAGCAGAAGUGUUUGUCAGUGUGCAAAAAGUGAGCACGGGAAGCAGUGUGACUUACUGCUGAGCUUGGCUGUUCUGCAGGCCAGGCACCUCUUCAGAAUGCUGACAAUCAUUGUAAGCGAUGGACAACGGACAGAGGUCUGCUGCCUUGGGAGAGGAUGUGCUGCUGUUCUGCUCCUUUGAUGUCAGCCAUACAGAGGGAUUAAAUGACUCUCUGCAAAACGUGUUGAAGUAAUUUAU